rnacentral:rRNA from 1 species
AUUGAACGCUGGCGGCAGGCCUAACACAUGCAAGUCGAGCGGAUGAAGGGAGCUUUCUCCUGGAUUCAGCGGCGGACAGGUGAGUAAUGCCUAGGAAUCUGCCUGGUUGUGGGGGAUAACGUCCGGAAACGGGCGCUAAUACCGCAUACGUCCUGCGGGAGCAAGUGGGGGAUCUUCGGACCUCACGCUCUCAUAUGAGCCUAGGUCGGAUUAGCUAGUUGGUGGGGUAAAGGCCUACCAAGGGGACGAUUCGUAGCUGGUCUGAGAGGGUGAUGAGUCACAGUGGAAGUGACACACGGUAUAGAGUCCUAGGGAAGGCAGAGGUGGGAAUAUUGGACAAUGGGCGAAAGCAUGAUCCAGCGAGGCCGCGUGUGAGGAGAAGGUCUUCGGAGUGUAAAGAAGGUUAAGUGGGGAGGAAGGGCAGUAAGUUAAUACCUUGCUGGUGUGACGUUACCAACAGAAUAAGCACCGGCUAACUUCGUG